AGAGUUUGAUCCUGGCUCAGGAUGAACGCUGGCGGCGUGCCUAACACAUGCAAGUCGAGCGAUUUACUUCGGUAAAGAGCGGCGGACGGGUGAGUAACGCGUGGGUAACCUGCCCUAUACACACGGAUAACAUACCGAAAGGUAUGCUAAUAUGAGAUAAUAUAAGAGAUUCACAUGUAUUUCUUAUCAAAGCUGAGGCGGUAUAGGAUGGACCCGCGUCUGAUUAGCUAGUUGGUAAGGUAACGGCUUACCAAGGCGACGAUCAGUAGCCGACCUGAGAGGGUGAUCGGCCACAUUGGAACUGAGACACGGUCCAAACUCCUACGGGAGGCAGCAGUGGGGAAUAUUGCACAAUGGGCGAAAGCCUGAUGCAGCAACGCCGCGUGAGUGAUGAAGGCCUUCGGGUCGUAAAACUCUGUCCUCAAGGAAGAUAAUGACGGUACUUGAGGAGGAAGCCCCGGCUAACUACGUGCCAGCAGCCGCGGUAAUACGUAGGGGGCUAGCGUUAUCCGGAUUUACUGGGCGUAAAGGGUGCGUAGGUGGUCUCUUAAGUCAGGAGUGAAAGGCUACGGCUUAACCGUAGUAAGCUCUUGAAACUGGGAGACUUGAGUGCAGGAGAGGAAAGUGGAAUUCCUAGUGUAACGGGGGAAAUGCGUAAAUAUUAGGAAGAACCCCAGUAGCGAAGGCGGCUUUUUGGACUGUAACUGACACUGGGGCGCGAAAGGGUGGGGAGCAAACAGGAUUAGAUACCCUGGUAGUUCACGCCGUAAACGAUGAGUACUAGGUGUCGGGGGUUACCCCCCUCGGUGCCGCAGCUAACGCAUUAAGUACUCCGCCUGGGGAGUACGCUCGCAAGAGUGAAACUCAAAGGAAUUGACGGGGACCCGCACAAGUAGCGGAGCAUGUGGUUUAAUUCGAAGCAACGCGAAGAACCUUACCUAAGCUUGACAUCCUUUUGACCGAUGCCUAAUCGCAUCUUUCCCUUCGGGGACAGAAGUGACAGGUGGUGCAUGGUUGUCGUCAGCUCGUGUCGUGAGAUGUUGGGUUAAGUCCCGCAACGAGCGCAACCCUUGCCUUUAGUUGCCAUCAUUAAGUUGGGCACUCUAGAGGGACUGCCAGGGAUAACCUGGAGGAAGGUGGGGAUGACGUCAAAUCAUCAUGCCCCUUAUGCUUAGGGCUACACACGUGCUACAAUGGGUGGUACAGAGGGCAGCCAAGUCGUGAGGCCGAGCUAAUCCCUUAAAGCCAUUCUCAGUUCGGAUUGUAGGCUGAAACUCGCCUACAUGAAGCUGGAGUUACUAGUAAUCGCAGAUCAGAAUGCUGCGGUGAAUGCGUUCCCGGGUCUUGCACUCACCGCCCGUCA
rnacentral:rRNA from 1 species